rnacentral:rRNA from 1 species
UGGGGAAUAUUGCACAAUGGGGGAAACCCUGAUGCAGCGACGCCGCGUGAGUGAAGAAGUAUUUCGGUAUGUAAAGCUCUAUCAGCAGGGAAGAAAAUGACGGUACCUGACUAAGAAGUCCCGGCUAACUACGUGCCAGCAGCCGCGGUAAUACGUAGGGGGCAAGCGUUAUCCGGAUUUACUGGGUGUAAAGGGAGCGUAGACGGCGGUGCAAGUCUGAUGUGAAAGCCCGGGGCCCAACCCCGGAACUGCAUUGGAAACUGUACUGCUGGAGUGCAGGAGAGGUAAGCGGAAUUCCUAGUGUAGCGGUGAAAUGCGUAGAUAUUAGGAGGAACACCGGUGGCGAAGGCGGCUUACUGGACUGUAACUGACGUUGAGGCUCGAAAGCGUGGGGAGCAAACAGGAUUAGAUACCCUGGUA